GUUUGCUGUCAAAAAAAAUUUUGUGCUUACGUCACUGCAGUUCCUUUUUUACUUAUGAUUGAUGCAGUGGCACAAGAAAUGUCUGAGUGUUCAGCACUAAUAGGGAAAAAACACAGUUUGAGCCUUUUUUACAAAAGGAAUGCUGAAAAAUGCAAUAAUAUACAAUGCAGUCAAAUAUAAAUUGUCUUGGAGAGUUUCUUCGGCCAGUGCACUGUACGGCCAGACCUAGAGACACAGGGUUCACUUGUGGUAGUUCUCAACGAUGAAGGUGGAAUUUUCACAGGUGUUGGUGAUGGUGAUCAUAAAGGUGUAAGCGUUGGUUGAAAAAGGGGUAUGUCAGUAUUGUCAACAGAAGAUGUAGUUUUAUCAAAAUACGCUUUCUUCAGACGGUCAACAGACACAGUCUCUGUACGACCAUUAGCGUCUAUUUUUAAAAAUUUGGGUGUGCAAGAGAGCACACGAAAGGGUCCUUUAUAAGGAGAAAUCUCGUAAUCGAGUAACAUAGGAUACUGGAUUUGGAGGUUGUAAUUUGUCUGGUAACAACAUCGUACCAGGCAAUGCCAGUGUGGUACCAUACAAUAAUUCUGCUGCAGAAAAACCAAGGUCUGCUUUAACUACAGUCCUGCAUCCAAGUAGGACAACAGGAAGAAAUACAGUCCAUGACUGCGGAUUGGGCAAGGCGUGCAAUGCGGCCUUUAGUUGCCUAUGAAAACACUCCACCAUCCCAUUAGAAGCGGGAUGGUAGCUGGUGGUGCGUAUACGAUGCCUUCGAUGAAGGGAGUGGAAGAUAGGCAAAUUUACAAUUGUUGAAUUUUGGCGAAGUUAAAUCUAACGUUGACAAAAGAGGUUGGUCCUACGAAAUAGCAAGUAAAUCAAUUGUUGCAGGAGAGGAAAUAGAACUGACAGGGAGUCUUGUGAGAGCAUCAACAGGGAUGCUCUGCUUCCCUGGCAAAUGACUGAAAUAUAGUCCAGGUGACGGAAAACACGAGGAGAGAGUUUGUCUGUUUUAGAAGACAGAGUGCACAUUAUAUGUGCGGAAUCACUGAAAAAGAUGCGAUAAAUGGUGGAGAUGAUUCUCGUUUGUAUCACUAGCGAAUACAAUAUCAAAUCCACAAAAAAAACUUCAUCUAUAAAUCUUUGGAAAGUGCUUGUUGCAUUCUGCAGACCAAAGCUCAUAAAAAGAAAUUCAAAACAGCCAAAAGGAGUGAUGGCAGUUUUGGGAAUGUCCUCUGGAUUAACUGGAAUCUGGUGAUAAGCGCGAACCAGAUCAAUCUUGGAAAAGAUAGUGGAAUCAUGUGUGCAUAGGAGAGAGAUAGAGAGAAAAAAAAUUUUUUUUUGUAAAACAAAGAAACAAUGGUGUUUGCUUUCGUAUUUUUUUUUUCUGUUUGUGUGAGUGCAUGUUAUUUGUACUGCGUGCAGGGGAAAAAAAAUAUUUUACCGAUCUUCUCGUAUGUAUUUUUUCUUUUUUUUUCUGCAAGAGAGAUAUAAACAGGACAGAACAGAGAAAUUAAAUGCGUGUGUGUUCGUCAUAUACAGUUGUCCUGUUAGUAACACAAGUUACACUCUGUUGAGGUUAUAUAGUCCAAUUGAAUUGACACUAUGCGGCUUCGUAGCAAUUGCUUAUUCUUUCUUCGUCUCUUUACGCGAGUGACAGAAAGUGGAGAUUUUAUUUCUUUGAAAGGCAGGCGUUGUCAUCGUGACAAAAUUUUUUUUUUUUUUUCGUCGUCUCUUCAUUUUUGACGAGUUGUAUGAGAGAUAAUUCCGUAUUCAUCACGUCGGGGUCACCAGUGUAAAAGUUUUGAUAGUUGUCAUAGAGACUUUAGUCUCUCUCUAUCACCUUUCAACAGCAUUAUGAAUGAAGAGACAUUAGAACAAUUAACAAUAUAAUAAAAAGGUUUUAUUUAUGAUGA